GUUCGAUACAGUGAACGAAUCGCUUCAACACAACUCGGGACUUGGUAGUACAGGCAUCAGAAGUCUUGUUGUUUAUUCUUCUAUAUUCUGAAUAUUCGAUGAGUUAACUGGGAGAGACGCCUCAUUAACUAGAAUAAAGGCAAAGAUAUCCACAAUAAUUAAAAUGAUACAAGCAACAGAACCUGCCGCAGUAUCUGGCUCCGUGCCCAAAACUGCAGAAAUGAUGUCCUUAUCAGUGCAGUUGAUGAACAUGUUGAUGCAUAUCCUUGUCAUGUGGGCGCAGAUGUUGGCUCUAUGUGCUCGGAUGAUCUCCAUAACAGCUCAGUUACUAGUACUCCUGGCCAGAAUGUUAACUAUGCUAAUGGAAAUGAUAACUCCGGUAACUAAGGUGUUAUUAACAGUUGCCAAGACACUUCAGCCAGUUGCCAAGGUGAUGGUGUCUUUCUUGGAUCUUAAGAAACCUGUGAUUGAUUACAACAUGGGAGAAAAUACUUGUAUGUGUUCCUGAUUGUGGAGUUCCGCGAGCAAGAUGAGGCUUAUUGGUUGUGCUUCCUUAGCGUAUGCCAGCUAGUAGGAUGCCCUGCCGCAGUAACUACCUCGACAAAUGUGAAGAACCACAUGAGGCUACAAGCCGUUUUAUCAGAAUAUGUGUAAGCCUGAUAUCUUGCAAUCUGUGUCUUUAAAUCUUGAAUAGUUUUUAAGAAUGUUUUGAGGGUAA